CCUACGGGUGGCUGCAGUGGGGAAUAUUGCGCAAUGGGCGAAAGCCUGACGCAGCGACGCCGCGUGGAGGAUGAGGCCCUUCGGGGUGUAAACUCCUGUUGCCCGGGACGAAUGCCCAGCAUCGGCUGGGUUGACGGUACCGGGUGAGGAAGCACCGGCUAACUCUGUGCCAGCAGCCGCGGUAAUACAGAGGGUGCGAGCGUUGUCCGGAAUCACUGGGCGUAAAGGGCGCGUAGGCGGCGGGUCACGCGUGCCGUGAAAGCCCGGGGCUCAAC
rnacentral:rRNA from 1 species